UACGUAGGGGGCAAGCGUUGUCCGGAAUCAUUGGGCGUAAAGAGCGCGUAGGCGGCCCAGCAAGUCCGCUCUGAAAGUCAGGGGCUCAACCCCUGAAUGCGGGUGGAUACUACUGGGCUAGAGUCCGGAAGAGGCGAGUGGAAUUCCUGGUGUAGCGGUGAAAUGCGCAGAUAUCAGGAGGAACACCGAUGGCGAAGGCAGCUCGCUGGGACGGUACUGACGCUGAGACGCGAAAGCGUGGGGAGCGAACAGG
rnacentral:rRNA from 1 species